rnacentral:lncRNA from 1 species
UUUUUUUUUUUUACUAAACUCUAAAGCUAGCUAUUCUUAUACUUCUGACCAAAGAAUGGUUGUCUUCAGCAAGAGAAAACUAACUGACUCGGAAGAAAUUGGUCCGUUCUAGAAGUUAUAUCUAAAACUUGCAUUUCGAGUUGAAAAAAAUAAUGAUAGUAACGUUUCUUUUUGUACACAUUCGAACGCCUACGCAUACAUGUAAGAAACAAACGUAGUUAACACCAUGAGGCAUGAGUUAGAUACGUAUAAGCGUUGAAAACUUCAGUCGUUUAAAGACUCUUAACUAGUACUAUUAAUUACGCAAUUAACACCACGACUCCACGAGGCAUAAGGUUCUGUUUGAUCAAAAAUAUACAUACCAUGAGGUUUUUUCUUUUACUGAAUUAUUUUUUUACUUUUUUUCUUUGCCACCUUCUUUAUUUGUUUCAUUGUUAUAAAGUUUCACUCACCAAAAACUAUUGUCAGAUUAAUUUCAUUUGGCGACAUGAUUUUAUGGACGAUUUCUAUGAAAAUAAUUGAGCUGAAUCAUUUAAAAUUCUGGUGACGUACGCAACAAUUAGUCAUAUCCCUGU